CCUACGGGAGGCAGCAGUGGGGAAUAUUGGACAAUGGGGGGAACCCUGAUCCAGCGACGCCGCGUGAGUGAAGAAGUAUUUCGGUAUGUAAAGCUCUAUCAGCAGGGAAGAAAGAAAUGACGGUACCUGACGAAGAAGCCCCGGCUAACUACGUGCCAGCAGCCGCGGUAAUACGUAGGGGGCAAGCGUUAUCCGGAUUUACUGGGUGUAAAGGGAGCGUAGACGGCGAUGCAAGUCUGAAGUGAAAGGCGGGGGCCCAACCCCUGGACUGCUUUGGAAACUGUAUGGCUGGAGUGCAGGAGAGGUAAGUGGAAUUCCUAGUGUAGCGGUGAAAUGCGUAGAUAUUAGGAGGAACACCAGUGGCGAAGGCGGCUUACUGGACUGUAACUGACGUUGAGGCUCGAAAGCGUGGGGAGCAAACAGGAUUAGAUACCCCUGUAGUC
rnacentral:rRNA from 1 species